rnacentral:rRNA from 1 species
UGGGGAAUAUUGCACAAUGGGCGCAAGCCUGAUGCAGCCAUGCCGCGUGUGUGAAGAAGGCCUUCGGGUUGUAAAGCACUUUCAGCGAGGAGGAAGGUGGUGAGCUUAAUACGCUCAUCAAUUGACGUUACUCGCAGAAGAAGCACCGGCUAACUCCGUGCCAACAGCCGCGGUAAUACGGAGGGUGCAAGCGUUAAUCGGAAUUACUGGGCGUAAAGCGCACGCAGGCGGUUUGUUAAGUCAGAUGUGAAAUCCCCGGGCUCAACCUGGGAACUGCAUUUGAAACUGGCAAGCUAGAGUCUCGUAGAGGGGGGUAGAAUUCCAGGUGUAGCGGUGAAAUGCGUAGAGAUCUGGAGGAAUACCGGUGGCGAAGGCGGCCCCCCUGGACGAAGACUGACGCUCAGGUGCGAAAGCGUGGGGCAGCAAACAGGAUUAGAUACCCUGGUAGUCCACGCUGUAAAACGAUGUCGAUUUGGAGGUUGUGCCCUUGAGGCGUGGCUUCCGGAGCUAACGCGUUAAAUCGACCGCCUGGGGAGUACGGCCGCAAGGUUAAAACUCAAAUGAAUUGAC